UUGAAAGGGAAACGAUUGAAGUCAGUCGUACCGACGGAGGAUCAACCUUUGAAAGCGGGUCGAGGUAUUCGAGGAGUUUAAAAGCCCUCUUGCGCUCACGUACUUCGUUUUCUUUGGUGCACUUCUUCGUAUGGUAGGUUAACAUCAAUUUUGGACGUUACAAAAUGAUCGGGGGAAUGUAACUUCGAUUUUUUCGAAGUGUUAUAGACCUUGGUAGAUGUGACGACCGGGAUUGAGGAUUGCAACGAAUGCUUUCGGGCUAUCCGUCUGACCUCUGGUGGUUGCUUUAGGGUCGAAAGCGUGCUUACGACUUUAAAGUUGGCUAUCAAAAGGCUAGAACGUGAUUAAAUUCGUUAAGGAUGUUGACGUA
rnacentral:rRNA from 1 species